GUAAAUAAAUAUUUUUAACGGAAAGAAACGGAGGGCGCUCAACCAACGUGAUUCGAGCUGCAAUCAAAAAAAUCGACUCAUCAUGAAAAGGAAAAGGUCAAUCACACCGACAGCGUCAUUGUGCCGAAUGUUACGCAGCAUCAUCUGGAUAUGUGUGCAACAAAAAUUCAACAUUCACCUUUCUGCUACUAUUUCUGUCAAGCCGUCUACGCAUACAGUUUGACUCAUAAGUUUGAUUAGGCUAUUGCCUAGAAAUACAUAUUGGUCACCCAUAGUCUAUUUCUCAGUUUGAAACUCCCAAAGAGUAGGCUAUAAAAAAUAACUCAAGAGAAAGGGUAAGUCUCUCCAACUCUGCUGACUUCAAACUACAUCUACCAUAUUGGCUGAUAUAGCCCAGUAUUAAAUAUAGAUAGCCUAAUAUAAUGGACUACGUGAGAAUCUCUGGUAAUUCUACCUAUUUCUUAAGUAAUUUGCGCAUUUGAUAUUGUCUAUAGGGCGCAAAAUUGCUGGGACCAUGGCUGGCAAGAGAGCUAUGUCAUAUACGCCUAAAAUAACUUAGCGGGACUGCGGUUGGGUUUGGGACCAGUUCUUGCGGUAACGAGUGGGAGUCGCACAGAACACCUGCGGGCGUGGUGCAGUAUGAAAAUCUGCGCAUGGGAGCAGGAUGAAGAAAUCAGUCCAGUGCAGACCUCUACUGUGGAUAACUGACAAUGAUGGGAUUAUUUCAAGAAAGAUGAGGGCUGCCUGCAGCAGUGGCUGGAGGCUUUUGUGGCUUCCUUUGAGAAGCUUGUUGAUGUGCAGUCACUGGAGCCUCGCAGGUGAGUUGACUGAUUGGCUCAAAUGUAUUUCCUUCGUCCCAAAUUGCAAUCUAUUCCCUGUACUACGUUUGACCAGAUCCUAGAUCUGUGACAAGGGGAAACCUCAGGGCACUGGUCACAGGGUGUGUGACCAGCUGGCUGAUACCUUGUNNNNNNNNNNUGACUGAUUGGCUCAAAUGUAUUUCCUUCGUCCCAAAUUGCAAUCUAUUCCCUGUACUACGUUUGACCAGAUCCUAGAUCUGUGACAAGGGGAAACCUCAGGGCACUGGUCACAGGGUGUGUGACCAGCUGGCUGAUACCUUGUCAUCUAAAAGGCUUCAAAGUGGAUCUGAGCAAUGAGACAGUUGUAAAAGUACUUCAUUUUAAAUAAACUGCAGACUUGGAAAGUAAAUUCACAUGGCUGGGGGCUAAAAUAAACACAGUCUCUUCCACACAGUCAG
rnacentral:lncRNA from 13 species